AGAGUUUGAUCAUGGCUCAGAUUGAACGCUGGCGGCAUGCCUUACACAUGCAAGUCGAACGGCAGCACGGGAGCAAUCCUGGUGGCGAGUGGCGAACGGGUGAGUAAUGUAUCGGAACGUGCCCAGUUGUGGGGGAUAACUACUUGAAAGAGUGGCUAAUACCGCAUACGACCUGAGGGUGAAAGCGGGGGAUCGCAAGACCUCGCGCAAUUGGAGCGGCCGAUAUCAGAUUAGCUAGUUGGCGGGGUAAAAGCCCACCAAGGCGACGAUCCGUAACUGGUCUGAGAGGAUGAUCAGUCACACUGGAACUGAGACACGGUCCAGACUCCUACGGGAGGCAGCAGUGGGGAAUAUUGGACAAUGGGCGAAAGCCUGAUCCAGCCAUGCCGCGUGUGUGAAGAAGGUCUUCGGAUUGUAAAGCACUUUAAGUUGGGAGGAAGGGCAGUAAAUUAAUACUUUGCUGUUUUGACGUUACCGACAGAAUAAGCACCGGCUAACUCUGCGCCAGCAGCCGCGGUAAUACAGAGGGUGCAAGCGUUAAUCGGAAUUACUGGGCGUAAAGCGUGCGCAGGCGGUUAUAUAAGACAGAUGUGAAAUCCCCGGGCUCAACCUGGGACCUGCAUUUGUGACUGUAUAGCUAGAGUACGGUAGAGGGGGAUGGAAUUCCGCGUGUAGCAGUGAAAUGCGUAGAUAUGCGGAGGAACACCGAUGGCGAAGGCAAUCCCCUGGACCUGUACUGACGCUCAUGCACGAAAGCGUGGGGAGCAAACAGGAUUAGAUACCCUGGUAGUCC
rnacentral:rRNA from 1 species